AUGAACGCUAGCUACAGGCUUAACACAUGCAAGUCGAGGGGCAGCAUGGUCUUAGCUUGCUAAGACUGAUGGCGACCGGCGCACGGGUGAGUAACACGUAUCCAACCUGCCGUCUACUCUUGGACAGCCUUCUGAAAGGAAGAUUAAUACAAGAUGGCAUCAUGAGUCCGCAUGUUCACAUGAUUAAAGGUAUUCCGGUAGACGAUGGGGAUGCGUUCCAUUAGAUAGUAGGCGGGGUAACGGCCCACCUAGUCUUCGAUGGAUAGGGGUUCUGAGAGGAAGGUCCCCCACAUUGGAACUGAGACACGGUCCAAACUCCUACGGGAGGCAGCAGUGAGGAAUAUUGGUCAAUGGGCGAGAGCCUGAACCAGCCAAGUAGCGUGAAGGAUGACUGCCCUAUGGGUUGUAAACUUCUUUUAUAAAGGAAUAAAGUCGGGUAUGGAUACCCGUUUGCAUGUACUUUAUGAAUAAGGAUCGGCUAACUCCGUGCCAGCAGCCGCGGUAAUACGGAGGAUCCGAGCGUUAUCCGGAUUUAUUGGGUUUAAAGGGAGCGUAGAUGGAUGUUUAAGUCAGUUGUGAAAGUUUGCGGCUCAACCGUAAAAUUGCAGUUGAUACUGGAUAUCUUGAGUGCAGUUGAGGCAGGCGGAAUUCGUGGUGUAGCGGUGAAAUGCUUAGAUAUCACGAAGAACUCCGAUUGCGAAGGCAGCCUGCUAAGCUGCAACUGACAUUGAGGCUCGAAAGUGUGGGUAUCAAACAGGAUUAGAUACCCUGGUAGUCCACACAGUAAACGAUGAAUACUCGCUGUUUGCGAUAUACAGUAAGCGGCCAAGCGAAAGCGUUAAGUAUUCCACCUGGGGAGUACGCCGGCAACGGUGAAACUCAAAGGAAUUGACGGGGGCCCACACAAGCGGAGGAACAUGUGGUUUAAUUCGAUGAUACGCGAGGAACCUUACCCGGGCUUAAAUUGCAGAUGAAUUACGGUGAAAGCCGUAAGCCGCAAGGCAUCUGUGAAGGUGCUGCAUGGUUGUCGUCAGCUCGUGCCGUGAGGUGUCGGCUUAAGUGCCAUAACGAGCGCAACCCUUGUUGUCAGUUACUAACAGGUUCCGCUGAGGACUCUGACAAGACUGCCAUCGUAAGAUGUGAGGAAGGUGGGGAUGACGUCAAAUCAGCACGGCCCUUACGUCCGGGGCUACACACGUGUUACAAUGGGGGGUACAGAGGGCCGCUACCACGCGAGUGGAUGCCAAUCCCCAAAACCUCUCUCAGUUCGGACUGGAGUCUGCAACCCGACUCCACGAAGCUGGAUUCGCUAGUAAUCGCGCAUCAGCCACGGCGCGGUGAAUACGUUCCCGGGCCUUGUACACACCGCCCGUCAAGCCAUGGGAGCCGGGGGUACCUGAAGUGCGUAACCGCGAGGAGCGCCCUAGGGUAAAACUGGUGACUGGGGCU
rnacentral:rRNA from 1 species